rnacentral:rRNA from 1 species
CCUACGGGAGGCUGCAGUGGGGAAUAUUGGACAAUGGGGGGAACCCUGAUCCAGCCAUGCCGCGUGUGUGAAGAAGGCCCUCGGGUUGUAAAGCACUUUCAGUGAGGAAGAACGCCUGGUGGUUAAUACCCAUCAGGAAAGACAUCACUCACAGAAGAAGCACUGGCUAACUCCGUGCCAGCAGCCGCGGUAAUACGGAGGGUGCGAGCGUUAAUCGGAAUUACUGGGCGUAAAGCGCGCGUAGGUGGCUUGAUAAGCCGGUUGUGAAAGCCCCGGGCUCAACCUGGGAACGGCAUCCGGAACUGUCAAGCUAGAGUGCAGGAGAGGAAGGUAGAAUUCCCGGUGUAGCGGUGAAAUGCGUAGAGAUCGGGAGGAAUACCAGUGGCGAAGGCGGCCUUCUGGACUGACACUGACACUGAGGUGCGAAAGCGUGGGUAGCAAACAGGAUUAGAUACCCUUGUAGUC